rnacentral:rRNA from 1 species
UCUAGCGAACAUAGCACAAUGGUCCCACCUGAACCCAUGCCGAACUCAGAAGUGAAACGUUGUUGCGCCGAUGGUAGUGUGGGGUCUCCCCAUGUGAGAGUAGGACAUUGCUAGAU